UCGGGUUGUAAAGCACUUUUGUCCGGAAAGAAAACCUCAGCCCGAAUACGGCGGGGGGAUGACGGUACCGGAAGAAUAAGCACCGGCUAACUACGUGCCAGCAGCGCGGUAAUCGUAGGGUGCGAGCGUUAAUCGGAAUUACUGGGCGUAAAGCGUGCGCAGGCGGUUCGCUAAGACCGAUGUGAAAUCCCCGGGCUUAACCUGGGAACUGCAUUGGUGACUGGCGGGCUGGAGUAUGGCAGAGGGGGGUAGAAUUCCACGUGUAGCAGUGAAAUGCGUAGAGAUGUGGAGGAAUACCGAUGGCGAAGGCAGCCCCCUGGGCCAAUACUGACGCUCAUGCACGAAAGCGUGGGGAGCAAACAGGAUUAGAUACCCUGGUAGUCCACGCCCUAAACGAUGUCAACUGGUUGUCGGGUCUUCAUUGACUUGGUAACGUAGCUAACGCGUGAAGUUGACCGCCUGGGGAGUACGGUCGCAAGAUUAAAACUCAAAGGAAUUGACGGGGACCCGCACAAGCGGUGGAUGAUGUGGAUUAAUUCGAUGCAACGCGAAAAACCUUACCUACCCUUGACAUGUACGGAACCUGGCCG
rnacentral:rRNA from 1 species